GUCGCACGAGAAAGCGGGAGCAAUCCUGCAAGUACAGUGGCGUACGGGUGAGUAACACGUGGAUUAUCUGCCCUGGAGUGGGGAAUAACGCUGGGAAACCGGCGCUAAUACCGCAUAUUCCCGAGAGGGGAAAGCAGCAAUGCGCUCGAGGAGGAGUCCGCGGCUGAUUAGCUAGUUGGUAGGGUAACGGCCUACCAAGGCUAUGAUCGGUAGCCGGCCUGAGAGGGCACACGGCCACACUGGCACUGAAACACGGGCCAGACUCCUACGGGAGGCAGCAGUGGGGAAUCUUGCACAAUGGGGGCAACCCUGAUGCAGCGACGCCGCGUGAGCGAUGAAGCCCUUCGGGGUGUAAAGCUCUUUCGGCAGGGAAGAUUAUGACGGUACCUGCAGAAGCAGCUGCGGCUAACUACGUGCCAGCAGCCGCGGUAAUACGUAGGCAGCGAGCGUUGUUCGGAGUUACUGGGCGUAAAGGGUGUGUAGGCGGUUCUUUAAGUUUGGUGUGAAAUCUCCCGGCUUAACCGGGAGGGUGCGCAGAAAACUGGCGGGCUAGAGUACGGGAUGGGAGAGUAGAAUUCCUGGUGUAGCGGUGAAAUGCGUAGAUAUCAGGAGGAAUACCGGUGGGUGUAGACGGCUCUCUGGACCGUAACUGACACUGAGACACGAAAGCGUGGGUAGCAAACAGGAUUAGAUACCCUGGUAGUCCACGCCCUAAACGAUGC
rnacentral:rRNA from 1 species